UCCCUGGUGACUCAGACAGUAAAGAAUCUGCCUGCAGUGCAGGAGACCUGGGUUCAAUCCCCAGGUGGGGAA
rnacentral:tRNA from 1 species